GAUGGGGAGAGAAGUUUGCCUGCGGCGCAGUCCAGUGAACGUUUAGCGUGUUUCAUUUAGGGAACAGCAACAAGAGCCUGCAGAGAAGCUUUUCAAGGACUGUUGAGGAAUAUCUGACUGACACAGAAACACCACUCUCCAAGUUGACUUUUUUUUUUUUUUUGCUCUUUUGAAAGAAAAAAACAAAACAAUAGCUAUACCUUUACUUAUCAUUGAUGUCGCCAAACUAGUGGGAAGCUCGGGUCAGUAGGACAGCGGCCGCACGCGGACUGUUGUCUGUCGGAGGGUGCUUUUUAAAUUUAGGUUCCCGGAGAAGAAGAACAGAGCGAAACAGAAGGGGGGGGGAAAAGAAGAAGAAUAAGACAGUCCAAGAGAAGGCGAUAAAAGAGUCUGACUCAGAAUGAAUAACAACAAGAUCGAGAAAGAAAACGAGCAGAGUGAAUUCACCAACCACGAAGAGGAGGUACGAACACUAUUUGUCAGUGGGCUACCACUGGAUAUUAAGCCGCGGGAGCUCUAUCUCCUGUUCAGACCAUUUAAGGGCUAUGAAGGCUCCUUGAUAAAACUCACUUCUAAACAGCCAGUGGGGUUUGUCAGCUUUGACAGCCGAUCAGAAGCGGAGGCUGCUAAGAAUGCCUUGAACGGGGUCCGGUUUGAUCCAGAGAUCCCCCAGACCCUUCGGUUGGAGUUCGCCAAGGCCAACACCAAGAUGGCCAAGAACAAGCUGGUUGGCACCCCCAACCCCCUUCCCUCCCAGCAGAGCCCCGGGCCACAGUUCAUUAGCAGAGACCCAUAUUCGCUGGCUCCCACCUGCAGAUGGAACUCCUCAGGGAUGGAAGUCCAGGCAGUUCUGCUGAAGUAUGUGUUCUUGAUGUGUGAUGGUGGCCGUGGCCAGCUGUGACGGGCGUUGCCUCUCGUGUCCAAUUAGAAACCAGGAGGACUGACCUGACUCUGGCUCUUGGAGCAGCGUACCGUCGGCAGCAGCAGCCUCAUGGGCCUCAGGACAUUCUAGACCCCAGCCUCCAUCACACAUCGAGCCCACCCUCCCCAAAGUCCUUCCAACUCUUUUUUUUUUAUACUGUUACAUACUCAAAAUUUACCGGCAGCGCUUUGGCUACACCUCCUCUGACACCUCAAUGAAAGGUACCGGGCAUGCAUGACAAAGGCUCACACACCCUUUGUUUACCAGUUGACUGCGUCGCCCGUGUUAACGUUAGCAGGGCUCUUGCUGUGCAUUCUGUAUAUGCAAGUGUACCAAAGGAGUGUACAUUUUAUGCAGCCACUUUGCAAGGCCAGACGUAUGGAAGUGUGGCUAAAGCGCUGCUGGGUAAUAUUAUAAUACGACUAUAAUUAUUACUAUACUGUAUAUCAUUCAUAUUAAUGUUAUUAUGAUUAUUAAAUACAUGUUGAAGCAUGACUUUGCAAAAAAAG